rnacentral:rRNA from 1 species
GACGAACGCUGGCGGCGUGCUUAACACAUGCAAGUCGAACGGAAAGGCCCUGCUUUUGUGGGGUGCUCGAGUGGCGAACGGGGGAGUAACACGUGAGUAACCUGCCCUUGACUUUGGGAUAACUUCAGGAAACUGGGGCUAAUACCGGAUAGGAGCUCCUGCUGCAUGGUGGGGGUUGGAAAGUUUCGGCGGUUGGGGAUGGACUCGCGGCUUAUCAGCUUGUUGGUGGGGUAGUGGCUUACCAAGGCUUUGACGGGUAGCCGGCCUGAGAGGGUGACCGGCCACAUUGGGCCUGAGAUACGGACCAGUAUCGUACGGGAGGCAGCAGUGGGGAGUAUUGCACAAUGAGCGGAAGCCUGAUGCAGAAACGUCGCGUGCGGGAUGACGGCCUUCGGGUUGUAAACCGAUUUCGCAUGUGACGAAGAGUGAGUGACGGUACUGGGUAAAGAAGCACCGGCUAACUACGUG